rnacentral:rRNA from 1 species
UUAAAGUCUAAUUCGCCCCCUGAUUUAUUUAAUGGCCGCAGUAUCCUAACUGUGCAAAGGUAGCAUAAUCAUUAGUCUUUUAAUUGGAGGCUUGUAUGAAUGAUUGGACGAAAUAUAAACUGUUUCAAGAAAAAAAAAUAGAAUUUUAUUUUUUAGUCAAAAAGCUAAAAUUUAUUUAAAAGACGAGAAGACCCUAUAGAUCUUUAUAUUUACUAUUUUAGUUUUUUUAGGUUUAAUUUGUAAUUGAAAUAGAAUAAUAUUAUAUUGGGGUGAUAUUGAAAUUUAUUUAACUUUUAUUAAAUUAAUUACAUUAAUUUAUGGACUAUUGAUCUUUUAAUAUUGAUUAAAAAUUUAAGUUACCUUAGGGAUAACAGCGUAAUUAUUUUGGAGAGUUCUUAUCGAUAAAAUAGAUUGCGACCUCGAUGUUGGAUUAAGAUUAAUUUUAGCUGUAGCAGGUUAUAAAUAUUAAGUCUGUUCGACUUUUAAUUUCUUACAUGAUCG